ensembl:lncRNA
UGGAGAACUUGGAGCUCUCUCACACAGCUGGGGACAGAGGCUGCCAAGGUCCAGCAGAGCCACAGAAGCAAGCCAGCCCCUGGCUGCUGCGUGGGGUGGCCCAGACGUCUGCCACCACGGUGAGCAUGUGGCUGCUGCAGGCACCCUAGGGCUCCAGCCUAGGGCUGCCCAUGGCCACAAGCUUGCUGCUGCGCUCCCAAAUGUCCCUCUGCCCACAGAGAGGCAAGGGGUGGGAAGCAGCAUCCUGCCUUUGAUGAAACUGAGCAACUGGGAGAAACAUUCAUCCUCAAAUUCCCAAGCACCAGAAGGCCAUGCAGCAUGCACACCCCCACACCUCUCCUCUGCCUUAUCCCAGACACCGUGUGCCGGCACACAGCGGUCACCAGUCCCCAUCUGGGAAACCCACAGAGCCAAGCAACUCCGUGCAGGACUGCACUCUGAUUUGGGGCUGGGGAAGGAUGAAUUAGAAUGGUUAUUUUCAGCAGAAAGGGGGUUACAGUAAGGGAACACUUAGAAAUGGAUCUCCGCAGUAACCCAGUUUGAAAUCUUGAAUUUCAAAGGGGAAGGAGAUGGAAUGACGCAUAAAAACCUCAACAGUUUUCCUCUCUGCUCAGUGACCUCUCUUUAGUGAGCUAGGUCCCUGUUUUUGUCAUCAACCCAGACAUCAUGUCACCUCGCAGUCAACCUUGCAGUACACAAGGUAGAUGGACGUAGAUGAGUGCCCAUCUUCAGCCAGAGCACAGUGAAGAAGUCCACAGGACGAGGUGUGUCCAGGACAAGCAUUUCAGUAAGGGAAACUUAUUGUUUUAAUAUUGCUGUCCUCCAUUUCUCCGUCACUAAAGGGAUCUUCCACCACUAAAUCAACAUGACUCAGCCUGCUGCAGGAACAGACAAAAAACCAGGACAAACACAGGCUUUCUAAAAACAAAAUGGAGCCAAAGAUGUCCUCUGAAAUACCAAAUUUUACAACAGCACCAAGCUACUCCAAGAGGCCAACAAAUGAGGCGGGUAGCAGGAGAAGCUUGCAAUUUGUAUCAAUAUGGCAAGUCUGGGUGAAAAUCAUCCCAGUAGCCAUAUCAAGGGGGUGACCAGCCCCAAAGACUGCCUCAGAGCAGGCAAUCAGGUUCCUUCAGCCCAGCAUCUUUAUCAUCAAACUGGCCACACAGGAGGGUAGGAAGGUGUGAGGACAAGCAUUUGCUUUGUGCUUUGCCCCUUUCUCUGUGCCCAAGACCACAAGGAUAAGACCGUCACCUAUCUCAGUGUCCACUGGCAAUUUCUUACCACCAGAGAAGGGAAAAUCGGCCUCCUCAACACCCUGUCAUACGGUUGGCCCAAAUAUAGGGCCCAAGAGAGGACAGAAAUAGCAUUUGCAGCCUUUCCCCACUGCCUGGCUGUGUGGGAGUCGCUUGGUGUGUCCCUAUCCACAAGCAGCCUGCUCAGCUCCCGCAGGUACCUGGAAGUGCUUUAUCUAUUUCUCAUAAUGGGGAAGGAGAGCAAUCUCUGAUAGUAUGUAAUGCAUACAAAAAAAAAAAAAGGUAAAAAUAUGAUUCAGAGGGUUUACAACUUAAUUAAACAUUUUAAUUCUUUAUACACACUGUAAAACUGAAAAUCCAGGGUAGGUCCAAUUGAAAACAAAGCAAAACAAAUAAAUGUGAACUGUUUCACA